rnacentral:rRNA from 1 species
CCUACGGGUGGCAGCAGUGAGGAAUAUUGGGCAAUGCCCGCCAGGGUGACCCAGCAACGCCGCGUGGAGGAUGAAUGCCGUAAGGUUGUAAACUCCUGUUAGAGGAGAAGAAUAGUACCGAUUGGAUCGGUAUUUGACUGUACCCUCAGAGAAAGCCCCGGCUAACUACGUGCCAGCAGCCGCGGUAAUACGUAGGGGGCAGGCGUUGUUCGGAUUUACUGGGGCGAAGGGGGGAGCAGGCGGCAGAGGUGAAAUCCUACAGCUUAACUGUAGAACUGCCUUUGAUACUGUUAUUCUUGAGUUCGGGAGAGAGAGACGGAAUUCCAGGUGUAGGGGUGAAAUACGUAGAUAUCUGGAAGAACACCAGUUGCGAAGGCGGUCUCUUGGUCCGAUACUGACGCUGAGGCGCGAAAGCGUGGGGAGCAAACAGGAUUAGAUACCCUUGUAGUC